AACGAACGCUGGCGGCAUGCCUAACACAUGCAAGUCGAACGAGGCCUUCGGGUCUAGUGGCGCACGGGUGCGUAACGCGUGGGAAUCUGCCCUUCGGUUGGGAAUAACUGAGAGAAAUUUCAGCUAAUACCUUAUAAUGUCUUCGGACCAAAGAUUUAUCGCCGAGGGAUGAGCCCGCGUAGGAUUAGGUAGUUGGUGGGGUAAUGGCCUACCAAGCCGACGAUCCUCAGCUGGUCUGAGAGGAUGAUCAGCCACACUGGGACUGAGACACGGCCCAGACUCCUACGGGAGGCAGCAGUGGGGAAUAUUGGACAAUGGGCGAAAGCCUGAUCCAGCAAUGCCGCGUGAGUGAUGAAGGCCUUAGGGUUGUAAAGCUCUUUUACCCGGGAUGAUAAUGACAGUACCGGGAGAAUAAGCUCCGGCUAACUCCGUG
rnacentral:rRNA from 1 species